rnacentral:rRNA from 1 species
GACGAACGCUGGCGGCGGGCUUAACACAUGCAAGUCGAACGGAAAGGCCCUGCUUUUGUGUGGUUCUCGAGUGGCGAACGGGUGAGUUACACGUGAGUAACCUUCCCUGGACUGUGUGAUAACUUCAGGAAACUGGGGCUAAUACCUGCGAGGAGCUCCUGCUGCAUGGGGGUGGUUGGAAAGUUUCGGCGGUUGGGGAUGGACUCGCGGCUUAUCAGCUUGUUGGUGGGGUAGUUGCUUACCAAGGCUUUGACGGGUAGCCGGCCUGAGAGGGUGACCGGCCACAUUGGGACUGAGAUACGGCCCAGACUCCUACGGGAGGCAGCAGUGGGGAAUAUUGCACAAUGGGCGGAAGCCUGAUGCAGCAACUCCGCGUGUGGGAUGACGGCCUUCGGGUUGGAAACCGCUUUCGCCUGUGACGAAGCGUGAGUGACGGUAAUGGGUGAAGAAGCACCGGCUAACUACGUG